rnacentral:rRNA from 1 species
AUUGAACGCUGGCGGCAGGCCUAACACAUGCAAGUCGAGCGAGCGGCGGACAGGUGAGUAAUGUCUGGGAAACUGCCUGAUGGAGGGGGAUAACUACUGGAAACGGUAGCUAAUACCGCAUACCAUCAGAUUUGCCAAGAUGGGAUUAGCUAGUAGGUGGGGGAACGGCUCACCUAGGCGACGAUCCCUAGCUGGUCUGAGAGGAUGACCAGCCACACUGGAACGGAGAAACGGUCCAGACUCCUACGGGAGGCAGCAGUGGGGAAUAUUGCACAAUGGGCGCAAGCCUGAUGCAGCAAUGCGGCGUGUGUGAAGAAGGCCUUCGGGUUGUAAAGCACGUUCAGCUGGGAGGCGUUACCCGCAGAAGAAGCACCGGCUAACUCCGUGCCAGCAGCCGCGGUAAUUC